UACGUAGGGUGCAAGCGUUGUCCGGAAUUAUUGGGCGUAAAGAGCUCGUAGGCGGCCUGUCACGUCGACUGUGAAAACCCGCGGCUCAACCGCGGGCCUGCAGCCGAUACGGGCAGGCUAGAGUUCGGUAGGGGAGACUGGAAUUCCUGGUGUAGCGGUGAAAUGCGCAGAUAUCAGGAGGAACACCGAUGGCGAAGGCAGGUCUCUGGGCCGAUACUGACGCUGAGGAGCGAAAGCGUGGGGAGCGAACAGG
rnacentral:rRNA from 1 species